ACUCCAGCAGACUAAGCUAUGUUGAAGCUACUGUAUUUCCAGGAAUGCCUUCAUACUAUGGACAAAGGAUAAUACAUCAGUCCAUAUACAAUAGGCAUUGUAUAAAAUCAAUAUUUCCCACCUAGAAACUUGAUCAGAGGCAUUGUAUAAAAUCACUAUUUCCCACCUAGAAACUUGAUCAGAGGUGCAGCUAUAGGUUUGUAUAAAAUCAUUUGUAUAUUGAACAUGUAUCUUUGCGACACAGAUAAAUACUCAACAUAAUCAGAAA